rnacentral:rRNA from 1 species
GGCUCAGAUUGAACGCUGGCGGCAGGCCUAACACAUGCAAGUCGAGCGGGUUUCGGACCUAGCGGCGGACGGGUGAGUAAUGCGUAGGAAGCUACCCGACAGAGGGGGAUACCAGUUGGAAACGACUGUUAAUACCGCAUAAUGUCUACGGACCAAAGUGUGGGACCUUCGGGCCACAUGCUGUCGGAUGCGCCUACGUGGGAUUAGCUAGUUGGUGAGGUAAUGGCUCACCAAGGCGACGAUCCCUAGCUGGUUUGAGAGGAUGAUCAGCCACACUGGAACUGAGACACGGUCCAGACUCCUACGGGAGGCAGCAGUGGGGAAUAUUGGACAAUGGGCGCAAGCCCGAUCCAGCCAUGCCGCGUGUGUGAAGAAGGCCUUCGGGUUGUAAAGCACUUUCAGCGAGGAGGAAGGGUUGUGUGUUAAUAGCACAUAGCCUUGACGUUACUCGCAGAAGAAGCACCGGCUAACUCUGUG